rnacentral:rRNA from 1 species
AUACGGAGGAUCCGAGCGUUAUCCGGAUUUAUUGGGUUUAAAGGGAGCGUAGGUGGAUUGUUAAGUCAGUUGUGAAAGUUUGCGGCUCAACCGUAAAAUUGCAGUUGAAACUGGCAGUCUUGAGUACAGUAGAGGUGGGCGGAAUUCGUGGUGUAGCGGUGAAAUGCUUAGAUAUCACGAAGAACUCCGAUUGCGAAGGCAGCUCACUAGACUGUUACUGACACUGAUGCUCGAAAGUGUGGGUAUCAAACAGGAUUAGAUACCCUGGUAGUCCACACAGUAAACGAUGAAUACUCGCUGUUUGCGAUAUACAGUAAGCGGCCAAGCGAAAGCAUUAAGUAUUCCACCUGGGGAGUACGCCGGCAACGGUGAAACUCAAAUGAAUUGACGGG